UAAGUUAUAUCUUAACUCCUUGCCCGUGACUAUUGUUAACCGCGUGUCUCGAAGCGGAACGAUGAGAUAGCAAUGUGAAAACGCCGAUCGGUGUUUUCACUUGCAUUGUUAUUUCAUCUUUUACUGUGUUUAUCAUCCAAUUACAGGUCGGAGCCAUUCCUGUAUUUAGUCGCUAGUACUGUAAAAAGGUCUAUUUGAUAUUGCCUCAUGGCUUUCCUUACUUUUCUGUUGGAGCUAGUACAAUAAGAUUCAAUCCACUUACAGACAAAGAUGGUGCCUGUACAUUUUACCUUUAUUCUUAGGCCACUUGAGUCUAAAUGGAAAUAAAACACAUAAAAAUGAUGGUUUCCAAGGAAGGUUUCUUCGCUUCAUGCCUGGGUCCUGGGUCCUAAAACAUUAUUCUGUUUUAUGGAAAAUAACAGUUAACUUGAGCAGGAAAACUCCAAUCAGCCUAGAGAGGCCAGAAAAUAAUUGUGCUUAGAAAUAACAGUUACCUCCAGCUGGAAAACAAAAAAGACAGAACAGCUUGCAGGGGCUGGAAAAUACAACAGAUUGUAGCUUCUAUGGAUGCCAGAAAUAUGUUUAUGAAAAACUGGCAGAUACUGUUUUGUGCAUUGUGCUGGUGAAGACAGCAGUGCAAGAAUAGGUGAAGAUAGAAUCAAGAAAUGCAAAACAGGAGUGAGUCCAUUUAGUCCUGAAAAAACCAUGGAAGAGGUUUCUGCUGGUUUUGGUGUUGCUUUUCCUGGUAAGUAUGAAUCAGGAGAUUUUGAGGAGGAUUAUGACGAUAUGAAUGAUGAUCUAUUUGUUCUCCCCCCUCCUCUUUCACCAUUAGACAUUCAACUACUGGACAAAGACACAGAGCUGUCAAAUGAAAACAAUA